rnacentral:rRNA from 1 species
UACGUAGGAUGCAAGCGUUGUCCGGAUUUAUUGGGUUUAAAGGGUGCGUAGGCGGCUUAUUAAGUUAGUGGUGAAAACGUUCGGCUUAACCGGAUACCCGCCAUUGAUACUGAUAGACUUGAGUGCGACAGAGGGUGUUGGAAUGUGUGGUGUAGCGGUGAAAUGCUUAGAGAUCACGCAGAACACCAAUUGCGAAGGCAGAUGCCUAUGUCGUAACUGACGCUGAGGCACGAAAGAGUGGGGAGCAAACAGG